rnacentral:rRNA from 1 species
AUUGAACGCUGGCGGCAUGCUUUACACAUGCAAGUCGAACGGCAGCGAGGAGAAGCUUGCUUCUCUGUCGGCGAGUGGCGAACGGGUGAGUAUAGCAUCGGAACGUGCCAAGUAGUGGGGGAUAACCAAACGAAAGUUUGGCUAAUACCGCGUAAGCUCCAAGGAGGAAAGUAGGGGACCUAAAUAAGGCCUUACGCUAUUUGAUCGGCCGAUGUCGGAUUAGCUAGUUGGUGGGGUAAUGGCUCACCAAGGCAAUGAUCCGUAGCGGGUCUGAGAGGACGAUCCGCCACACUGGGACUGAGACACGGCCCAGACUCCUACGGGAGGCAGCAGUGGGGAAUUUUUGGACAAUGGGGGAAACCCUGAUCCAGCCAUGCCGCGUGUAUGAAGAAGGCCUUAGGGUUGUAAAGUAC